UACGUAGGGGGCAAGCGUUAUCCGGAUUUACUGGGUGUAAAGGGAGCGUAGACGGCAGGGCAAGUCUGGAGUGAAAGGCAGGGGCCCAACCCCUGGACUGCUCUGGAAACUGUCCGGCUGGAGUGCAGGAGAGGUAAGUGGAAUUCCUAGUGUAGCGGUGAAAUGCGUAGAUAUUAGGAGGAACACCAGUGGCGAAGGCGGCUUACUGGACUGUAACUGACGUUGAGGCUCGAAAGCGUGGGGAGCAAGCAGG
rnacentral:rRNA from 1 species